UACGUAGGGUGCAAGCGUUGUCCGGAGUUAUUGGGCGUAAAGAGCGUGUAGGCGGCUCGGUAAGUCCGCUGUGAAAGUCCAGGGCUCAACCCUGGAAUGCCAGUGGAAACUGUUGAGCUAGAGUCCGGAAGAGGCGAGUGGAAUUCCUGGUGUAGCGGUGAAAUGCGCAGAUAUCAGGAGGAACACCAAUGGCGAAGGCAGCUCGCUGGGACGGUACUGACGCUGAGACGCGAAAGCGUGGGGAGCAAACAGG
rnacentral:rRNA from 1 species